rnacentral:pre_miRNA from 1 species
AGAGUACUCCCUUUGUCCGGAAAAGCUUGUCCUUCAAAUGGAUGUAUCUAAUACUAACUUGGUGCUAGAUACAUCCAUUUGAGGAACAAACUUUUCCGGACGGAGGGAGUAUAUA